rnacentral:lncRNA from 1 species
CCUCAGUUCCCCUCAGGGAAUUGGGAUGUAUCCAUCUUCUGAGGAUGGAUACUGGGUCUGUCCCUGGACCUGGGUUGCUCAGGACGGCGGCUGGGACGGGCUCUGGAACCCAGCCCAGCCCUGCAUUCAUCCCCCAGACCGCUCGGCCAGCCACUACCCUGUGUACCAGAAGCAGCAUCUGUUCAACAGCAACCCCCACUGGGACUCCGGGGCCUUCCGCAGACUCAGCCACCUGGUGCGAGAGACGCACCUCAACUUCUCAAGGGGUGCUGCUGGCUGCUGGCUUGGCGACUGUGCUGUUGACGGGCCUGGGCCUCCUGCUGAGUCCUUCCCUG